rnacentral:lncRNA from 1 species
GGUGUGCGAUCCAUUAGGUUCCUUUUAGCGAGGCAGUGGGCUAUUAAAACCAUUUUAUAUCGAUUGUGAAUUGAAACUUACUUUCAAUUCUCCCUUUAGUGAUUACACACGUUUAGGGCUUCCACAAACCAUAAGUGACACCUUGCAGCAUAUCAUCGUUACCCAAGCUAAUCAGAAGAGGUAGAGAAAACCUAUUCAGUUUGGGAUUACAAAUGCAAUACGGUCUUUCUCUAAUACAAUACUCUUGACCACAUUGUUUGGUUUGAUAGUUUAUUUAUUCAUGUCUACUAUCCAAUGUGAUUCGUGUGCUUAUAUGAUUACCUUGAAUGUGAUUUAGAACGACUUUUCUAAAUCUCAUUCAUACUCUGGCCAGAGAUUCUAAAUCAUAUCAUAGAGUAUUCUCCCUUAAACAGUUUGAAGGUUAGAGAUCCCUUGUUGCGCAUUCACUUGCCUCCAUGGCUAAGUGGCUUAACCCCAACGAUGCCGUGGACACUCCAAUGGAAUGUCGUUUGACAUAAUCAAAGAUCAAGGACUUAACCACAAGACAAUUGUGAUGACUCAGGUCAAAGGACUACUUUGCAUUAUCCCAACCAUGAGUUCUCAUGUGACAUGAGUAUGAGA